UGAGCCCUAGUGUCCCCAGUUUGGGAGGUAGCAGUGGUGGUGACAGUGGUGGUGGUGACACCCCCAACACUCACCCCCACUGCUCUCUCCCAGGGAUGAGGAAAUUCAGA
ensembl:miRNA